rnacentral:rRNA from 1 species
UACGGAGAGUGCAAACGUUGUUCGGAUUCACUGGGCGUAAAGGGCACGUAGGCGGCUCGGCAAAUCGGUCGUGGAAUCUCGACGCUUACCGUCGAAACGGCGGCCGAAAAUACCGGGCUCGAGGGCGUGAGGGGUCACUGGAACUCCUGGUGAAGCGGUGAAAUGCGUAGAUAUCAGGAGGAACGCCGGAGGCGAAAGCGAGUGACUGGCGCGUUCCUGACGCUGAGGUGCGAAAGCGUGGGGAGCAAACAGG